UACGUAGGUGGCGAGCGUUGUCCGGAAUUACUGGGUGUAAAGGGCGUGUAGGCGGGGAUGCAAGUCAGAUGUGAAAUACCCGUGCUUAACAUGGGAACUGCAACUGAAACUACAUUUCUUGAGUACUGGAGAGGGGAGUGGAAUUCCUAGUGUAGCGGUGAAAUGCGUAGAUAUUAGGAGGAACACCAGUGGCGAAGGCGGCUCUCUGGACCGGUACUGACGCUGAGGCGCGAAAGCUAGGGGAGCAAACGGG
rnacentral:rRNA from 1 species